rnacentral:lncRNA from 1 species
AACAAACAAAAGAUUGACGUAAAACAAAAGCUUAAAUGGAUCAGAGACAAGAGUAAAAGUAAAGAAGGAUUAAUUUCAUUAAAGGGAAACAAUUACAACUUAGAUAUAAGAAAAAAUUUACAAAACAAACAAAAGACUCCUAGACACACCUAACGAGACGUCUCUAGAGUUCAAAUGCUUCCUCCAUUUGAGAAAUGAGAAUAUCCAUCUUGUGCUCGACGUCUUGUAGAGCAAAAAGAAUGCCACUCAGCACUGAGGUCACCUUAGAUUGUGAGAUUUCUUUCUUCACCAGAGAAUGUGACUUUCUCUUCCUUCCAAAAGAUGAACCUGCAUCCAUGGAAGAGAGUUUGUGAGGCGCAGAGGGAAGGAUAAGCACAACAAAAGAAAUGAGGACAAAGAGAGGAUGGAAAUGACAAAAAUGAGGAGGAAUGAAGAACGUUAAGGUUAUUAUUAGCAAAAAAAAAU